GCAAGAGCCCCCCCUAACCCGAGAGGAGAGGCGGCGGCGGCGGCGAUCCGGAGCGCCCCCAGCCAUGUCGCCGCAGCUCCUAUUCCGCCGCUUCGCGGGCGGCCACCGCUGCCGAGUCCAAAGCCACCGCCGCCACAACCUCAGCUCGGCUGCGGGAGCGGCUGGCGGCCCCCACUACGUCGGCGAGAGGCGGCGGCAGCAGCAGCAGCAGCAAGAGGAGGAGAGCAAGGCGGUGAAGGUGUCGGUGUGGUGGGACUUCGAGAACUGCCACGUGCCCCAGGCCGUCAACGUCUGCCGCAUCGCGCAGCGGGUCUCCGCCGCGCUCCGCGCCGCCGGCGUCCGCGGCCCGCUCUCCAUCACCGCCUUCGGGGACGUCAUCCAGCUCUCCCGCUCGGCACAGGAGGCGCUCGUCGCCACCGGCAUCGCCAUCUCCCACGUCCCAAACAGUGGAAAGAAUAGUUCUGACCGGUCAUUUAUGGCUGAUCUUGUCUACUGGAUUGCUCAGAACCCACCACCAGCUCAUUUCUUCCUCAUAUCUGGGGAUAAAGAUUUCGCAAACAUUUUGCAUCGUCUGCGAAUGAGCAACUAUAACAUACUACUUGCUUGUCCUAGUUCUGCUACCAAUGUACUGUGCAGUGCAGCGACAAUUAUGUGGCCUUGGGAAGCUUUAGUUAAAGGGGAAGAUUUCUCACCGAAACGAUUUAACCAUCCACCUGAUGGUUUGUCUGGAUCUUGGUAUGGCCACUACAAGGGAGCCCUUGAUGACCCCUUCAUUGACACUGAAGCAGAAGAAACCAUGGCAAUACCAGUACGAUCUGACAUCAAACAUUGUCCAAAUUCUGAAAUUGCAGUUAAUACAAUCCCCGCAUCUACAGUUAAUGGGAUACGGGAGGCACUAAGUUCAUAUCCUAAUGGGGUCAGCCUUUCAAUUCUUCGAGACGAACUUAAAAGGAACAAUGUGUUUCUUGGUUAUGACUUCUUUGGCCACAAAAAGUUCUCUUGCCUUAUCCAAUCGAUGCCAGAUGUUGUGGAAUUUACUGAUUCUCCAUUGGGUACCAAUCAGCCAUAUGUAGUUGGAGUCAAGAAAAUAUUACGGGAGCCUAAUGAAAAAAGAAUCAAGCCCCUGAAUUCUGCUGAAAGUAAUGCCAAGGACAACAAUCGCAAUCGAGAAACACACAACGAUAAGACCCAUCCAGCCUCUGUAUCAACUUUGCAUUCUGAACAAAAUCGUAAGACCCUAAAUUCUUCUCGAAGUAUUUUCAGGGACAGAAGCUUCAUGCAGACUGUGAAUAAGAAUUCACCCACAUUUGCUGUCUCAUCUUCAUCGGAUGUGUUAUCUGAGGAUCGAAAGGAAUGCGCAACAGCUGACAUGAAUCCAGAGACAGAAUUACCUGCCGAUCACAAGGAAGUUGAUGCAAGGACUGUCCCUGGAACUCCCUCUUCCUCAAGGGUGGAAAAUACUGUUAACAGGGAUGGGCUAUUAAAAAGGAUCUGGAUACUGUGGAAUGGCUCUGAGAGCGCUAAAUGUGAGGUUUCUCCAUGUAGUGAAAGCACUUCUGCUGGAGUGGUUGGUGAUUCGCAAACACCUCAGAAAGAUCAUAGUUCCGAUCAAAGUAGCAGGCUUUUGAAUAAGAUCCAUAAGACCUCUUCCCAACACGGCAGCUCAGCUGGAAUUGAAAGCUCUGCAGCGAUGACUGCUAACUUUUCAGCAUUAUCAGACAAUGAGGAUUCUGAAACAGUAAAGCAUGCGGAAAAGAUGGGAAUGCUAAAGAGUGAUCCAUCAAUUCUCCAAAACUCAAAACCAUGUAAUGGACCUGCAUCUGUUCCCUUGAGUAAAGCUGAAAAAAAUGCUGAUACCUCCAAGAUGAACAAGGGCUUAUUUAGCUGGGCAAUGGAGUGGUGGAAAUUUGGAAAAUCAGAUGCAGAGAACAGUACAACUAAUAAAAGUGUCAGUGAUGAAGCAAGUGCGGACUUAACUAUGGAAUCUGAAUCUUUAGAGGCUUCAACUUCUGGAAGUGAGCAGCAAGUGGUUAAUAAAAUAUUCACAAAAUUUUACUUUUGGGAUGUUUUAGAACGACAGCUAUCCAAGCCCCUUGGGUCUGAGCUUAUCUCAAAAGCAAAGACAAGGGAGGAGUUGGCACAUGGAUUGGAGAAUUUAGAUUGCUGGCCUCUCAAAGGCUUGGUUCAAAAAGAUCUUGAUCAUCUGGUACAUCUUUUAGUUUCAGAAAAGAAAUGGAUUGAAGAAACUCCAUCGAGAUAUUUUCCUUUUCGUCUUACACUCCCUCUGAAGAGAACACAUGUUCCAUCAAAUCCUAGUAAGUCUGGUCUCAGUUCUCUCUUCUCUAAUGGGAAGCCAUUGGAGCAGGGUAAACAUGUCGAUGACAAAGGCAGGACAAACAGGACUCUCACUAGGGAGGAGACAUUGUCUGAUUGCCACAAGCUGUUAAAGGACCUUCUUCUGCAAUAUGAAGACGGUUUUAACAUCAGCAUUUUCAAGCGUCACUUCGCUCAGAAGCAUGGGUAUGAGCUUGAUCACCAGAAACUUGGGUAUGCAGACCUUGAGUCACUGUUGCAGAUUAUGCCUGGUGUAAUAGUAAAAUUCCCAAGGGUUCUACCUGCUGAAAAUGAGAAUGGUCGGGCUAGCAAGGGCGAUGGGAAUGAAAGCAGUGGUGAUGAUUUCAUCUGGGAGGAACUCGGUCCUGUAUCUGCUGCUACCAGAACUGCCAAGGGGGUUGAUAAGGAAACAUGCUACCAGUCUCCCACUCAUUCAGAAGAUGAUUUCUCAGAUAAUGACAAUCAAGCAGAUCAACAGCCCAAAAGAGACAGUGAGCAGAGUUCCCUCCUCCAAAUCAUCGAUUCCUGGAGCAGCAGCAAGGAUGAUGGUUCUAGCAACAAACUUGGCAUUGACGGUCUCGUGGACUGUUCCAGGAGCAGCAGCCCGGGUUAUCUUGACACUCUGAAGAGUACAAGGCCGACACAGAAGCAGUAUUGUUUUGUUUCAGGCUCGGACUCGGAAGAAGAUAAAGAGAAGGAUAAGCUUGUAGAGAGCGUCUUGGGCAGUCUGCAAAAAGCACGGGGCGCGAAGGUGCCCAAUUGAAGAACUGGUAAUCGCAGUGGCACUGAUUUUUCUUUUUAAGGCGCUGAAUUGCAGCCGGUAAUUGGCCCGUCACCAUGCUGAAAGCUGACAUGCUUCCUCAUUUCGAUUACGGCGUUCAUUGGCAUCAACAACUCCUCCAGGCAGUAGGAUACGUCAGGACUAACACAGCAAUGUUUUUCUUUCUCGAUUUCAAGAGAUCAUUCCUACGAUUCUGCGGUCGACCGGUACCGACGAAGCUUCGGUUAUCCCGGAAUUCAGACCCCCUCUUUUGCUGAGAAGUUCAGGAAUGCCACCACUUGACAAGAUGAGGCGGGUUUCUACAUCUGGCCAGACAAAAAACGAAGCAGUUUUUCUUGCUUCGAUGGACAAAAAUGAUUAAAUUUGGUUUACACGCACGCAGCCCAGGUGAUCGUUUCUUCUCAUCUUAGUAAAAGCUUCGUUUGUUGCUUGAAAUCUUGGUAAAUUUUCUUCUUUUUUUAAUAAUUAAAAAUCUUGGCAGCCUCUCGAGUCAUUGGGCAUGCACCGAGAUAUUGACAGUUUUGUCUUUGUCUGUCGCAUCUGCGCAUCAUCAUCGUCUUAUAAUAUCGAUGACAAAUGUAGUUGCAGAGACAAUGACAGUCUCUUGAUGUAUUCUAUGGAUAAAUCGCUCGGCCAUUCACUGUUGCAUCGUCAACAUGGCUUGAUGCUGCAUCGUGUCCUGCGCUAAUAAGUUUUUGUCUUCUUGUUGAUA